rnacentral:tRNA from 1 species
GGGAAGGUGGCUCAGUGGUAGAGUGCUUGCCUUGCAUGCAUGAGGCCCUGGGUUCCAUUCCUCAGCCCCA